CAUUAUGGUGGGCGGGAUGAGGCAGCCUUCAUUGGCUGGUUGUUUCCAAGGUAACGGUAGGACCAACCUCGUUCAGUUCACCGCCAGU
rnacentral:antisense_RNA from 1 species